AUUGAACGCUGGCGGCAGGCCUAACACAUGCAAGUCGAACGAGUGGCGGACGGGUGAGUAAUGUCUGGGAAACUGCCUGAUGGAGGGGGAUAACUACUGGAAACGGUAGCUAAUACCGCAUACCAUCAGAUGUGCCCAGAUGGGAUUAGCUUGUUGGUGGGGUAACGGCUCACCAAGGCGACGAUCCCUAGCUGGUCUGAGCGGAUGAUCAGCAAACAUGGAACUGAGAUAGGGUCCAGAUUCCUACGGGAGGCAGCAGUGGGGAAUAUUGCACAAUGGGCGCAAGCCUGAUGCAGCCAUGCCGCGUGUAUGAAGAAGGCCUUCGGGUUGUAAAGUACUUUCAGCGGGGAGGCGUUACCCGCAGAAGAAGCACCGGCUUACUCCGUGCCAGCAGCCGCGGUAAUUC
rnacentral:rRNA from 1 species